rnacentral:rRNA from 1 species
GGAAUUGCUAGUAGUGGCAGGUCAGCAUACUGCCGUGAAUACGUUCCCGGGCCUUGUACACACCGCCCGUCACACCAUGAGAGUUGGAAAUACCCGAAGCCUGUGAGCUAACUUAAAGAGGCAGCAGUCGAAGGUAGAGCCAAUGAUUGGGGUGAAGUCGUAACAAGGUAGC